GACCCUGGCUCAGGAUGAACGCUAGCUACAGGCUUAACACAUGCAAGUCGAGGGGAAACGACAUCGAAAGCUUGCUUUUGAUGGGCGUCGACCGGCGCACGGGUGAGUAACGCGUAUCCAACCUGCCCACCACUUGGGGAUAACCUUGCGAAAGUAAGACUAAUACCCAAUGAUAUCUCUAGAAGACAUCUGAAAGAGAUUAAAGAUUCAUCGGUGAUGGAUGGGGAUGCGUCUGAUUAG
rnacentral:rRNA from 1 species